AUGAGCACAUGCAAUGCGAGCAACCAAACACGAUGCAUAGGGGCGUCGCUACGAUGUAGGGAGAGGACAUGCAAGCAACCAAUCAACAUGCAGAUGUUAGUUUUUGCUGCAUAUGCUCAAUCAGGCCCAACUAGAACAAGUAAGCCCAACUGGGACAAGUAUGCAAAUGGGCAAAAAAAUGUGCAGGUAACCAAACACGCCGCUAGCUGCGCAUCCAUGUACUCCCUCCGUCCCAAAAUACUUGUCAAAGAAAUGGAUGUAUCUAGACAUAUUUUAGUUCUACAUACUUCCAUUUUUAUCAAUUUCUUCGACAAGUAUUUCCGGACGGAGGGAGUACUAUGUUAA
rnacentral:rRNA from 1 species